rnacentral:rRNA from 1 species
AACGAACGCCGGCGGCAUGCCUAACACAUGCAAGUCGAACGAUCCCUUCGGGGAUAGUGGCGCACGGGUGCGUAACGCGUGGGAACCUGCCCUUAGGUUCGGAAUAACUCAGAGAAAUUUGAGCUAAUACCGGAUAAUGUCUUCGGACCAAAGAUUUAUCGCCUUUGGAUGGGCCCGCGUUGGAUUAGCUAGUUGGUGGGGUAAAGGCCUACCAAGGCGACGAUCCAUAGCUGGUCUGAGAGGAUGAUCAGCCACACUGGGACUGAGACACGGCCCAGACUCCUACGGGAGGCAGCAGUGGGGAAUAUUGGACAAUGGGCGAAAGCCUGAUCCAGCAAUGCCGCGUGAGUGAUGAAGGCCUUAGGGUUGUAAAGCUCUUUUACCCGGGAUGAUAAUGACAGUACCGGGAGAAUAAGCCCCGGCUAACUCCGUG